rnacentral:rRNA from 1 species
UACGGGGGGGGGCAAGCGUUUGUUCGGAAUUACUGGGCGUAAAGGGCUCGUAGGUGGCCAACUAAGUCAGACGUGAAAUCCCUCAGCUUAACUGGGGAACUGCGUCUGAUACUGGAUGGCUUGAGUUUGGGAGAGGGAUGCGGAAUUCCAGGUGUAGCGGUGAAAUGCGUAGAUAUCUGGAGGAACACCGGUGGCGAAGGCGGCAUCCUGGACCAACACUGACACUGAGGAGCGAAAGCCAGGGGAGCAAACGGG